UACGGAGGGGGCUAGCGUUGUUCGGAAUUACUGGGCGUAAAGCGCACGUAGGCGGCUUUGUAAGUUAGAGGUGAAAGCCCGGGGCUCAACUCCGGAAUUGCCUUUAAGACUGCAUCGCUAGAAUUGUGGAGAGGUAAGUGGAAUUCCGAGUGUAGAAGUGAAAUUCGUAGAUAUUCGGAAGAACACCAGUGGCGAAGGCGAGUCCCUGGACAACGCCUGACACUGAGGCGCGAAAGCUAGGGGAGCAAACAGG
rnacentral:rRNA from 1 species